GAGUAAGACGCCUUCGGGCGUGGAUAGAGUGGCGAACGGGUGAGUAACACGUGACCAACCUGCCCCCUCCUCCGGGACAACCUCGGGAAACCGAGGCUAAUACCGGAUACUCCGGGCCCCCCGCAUGGGGGGCCCGGGAAAGCCCUGGCGGGAGGGGAUGGGGUCGCGGCCCAUCAGGUAGACGGCGGGGUAACGGCCCACCGUGCCUGCAACGGGUAGCCGGGCUGAGAGGCCGAUCGGCCACAUUGGGACUGAGACACGGCCCAGACUCCUACGGGAGGCAGCAGUGGGGAAUUUUGCGCAAUGGGGGCAACCCUGACGCAGCGACGCCGCGUGCGGGACGAAGUCAUUCGUGACGUAAACCGCUUUCAGCGAGGAAGAACCAUGACGGUACUCGCAGAAGAAGCCCCGGCUAACUACGUGCCAGCAGCCGCGGUAAUACGUAGGGGGCGAGCGUUAUCCGGAAUCAUUGGGCGUAAAGCGCGCGCAGGCGGGCUUUCAAGCGGCGGCGUCGAAGCCGGGGGCUCAACCCCCGGAAGCGCCCCGAACUGGAAGCCUCGGAUGCGGCAGGGGGAGGCGGAAUUCCCGGUGUAGCGGUGAAAUGCGCAGAUAUCGGGAAGAACACCGACGGCGAAGGC
rnacentral:rRNA from 1 species